UACUAUGAUGAAUACAUUUAGCGUGAACAAUCUCUGAAUAAAGAUUUUGGAUCUUUAAGAUUAGAAAACUUAUGUUGCCUUCCUUCUGAAA
rnacentral:snoRNA from 1 species